AUUGAACGCUGGCGGCAUGCUUUACACAUGCAAGUCGAACGGUAACAGGCCGCAAGGUGCUGACGAGUGGCGCACGGGUGAGUAAUGCAUCGGAACGUGCCCAGUCUUGGGGGAUAACUACUCGAAAGAGUAGCUAAUACCGCAUACGAUCUAUGGAUGAAAGCGGGGGACCGUAAGGCCUCGCGCGAUUGGAGCGGCCGAUGUCAGAUUAGGUAGUUGGUGGGGUAAAGGCUCACCAAGCCAACGAUCUGUAGCUGGUCUGAGAGGACAACCAGCCACACUGGGACUGAGACACGGCCCAGACUCCUACGGGAGGCAGCAGUGGGGAAUUUUGGACAAUGGGCGCAAGCCCGAUCCAGCAAUGCCGCGUGCAGGAAGAAGGCCUUCGGGUUGUAAACUGCUUUUGUACGGAACGAAACGGCUCUGGUUAAUACCCGGGGCUAAUGACGGUACCGUAAGAAUAAGCACCGGCUAACUACGUG
rnacentral:rRNA from 1 species